UACGUAGGUGACAAGCGUUGUCCGGAUUUACUGGGCGUAAAGAGCGCGCAGGCGGUCGAUCAAGUCGAGUGUGAAAGCCCCCGGCUCAACUGGGGAGGGUCAUUCGAUACUGAUCGACUCGAAGGCAGGAGAGGGUAGUGGAAUUCCCGGUGUAGUGGUGAAAUGCGUAGAUAUCGGGAGGAACACCAGUGGCGAAGGCGGUUCUCUGGGCAUUACCUGACGCUGAGGAGCGAAAGUGUGGGGAGCGAACAGG
rnacentral:rRNA from 1 species